UACAGAGGGUGCGAGCGUUGUUCGGAAUUAUUGGGCGUAAAGGGCGCGUAGGCGGCCUGGCAAGUGGAAGGUGAAAUCCCUCGGCUUAACCGAGGAACUGCCCUCCAAACUGCUUGGCUUGAGACCGGGAGAGGUGAGUGGAAUUCCCAGUGUAGCGGUGAAAUGCGUAGAUAUUGGGAGGAACACCAGUGGCGAAGGCGGCUCACUGGACCGGUACUGACGCUGAUGCGCGAAAGCGUGGGGAGCGAUCCGG
rnacentral:rRNA from 1 species